AGCUACAAGAUUUAAUUUGUGGUUAGACCUGCCCAGUGUUAGUAAAAUAAAUGGCCGCGGUACUCUGACCGUGCUAAGGUAGCGUAAUCAGUUGGCUUUUAAAUGGAGUCAGGAAUGAAUGGGGUAACUGGACUUUGCUGUCUCUAAUUUAGCCUUUGAAUUUACUAUAUAAGUGAAAAAGCUUAUAAAUUAAAAAGGGACGAGAAGACCCUUAGAAUUUUACUUAAUUAGAUAAUGUUUAAUAUGGUUUUAUUGGGGUGAUUAGGAAAUAUUUAUAACUUUCUUUUUUGAUAUAUAGCGGUUUUAUCAAGCGAGAAUAAAUUACCUGAGGGAUAACAGCAUUAUCUUUUAUUUGGGUUUGUGACCUCGAUGUUGGACUAGGGAAUUAUCAGGCUAGGCGCUUGUUAAGUUGGUUCUGUUCGAACUUUCAUUCCU
rnacentral:rRNA from 1 species